AUGUGCAGUCGGAGGGAGGACGUUACUGUCGAGGCAACUCUAGCACGCGAAUGUGGAUUUAUGGCAGAGGAUGUCGUGGUUUUUUCGUAUGGUUUCCGCCUCUUCCAAUUAGCAUCUACUUGUGUAAAAUUGGGGAGUGGUGAAUCGAGGACGGUGCAACGACAUCGUGAGGUGUCGUUGCUAUUGGAGAUCUGCAUGGAGUGGUGCAACGUCGGAGCGAUGUUAUUGAUAGGAGCUGAUGGUCGUGGCAACUGCGAGGUUUGUGUUUUUUUUUUUCUUUCGCUUCUUCCUCAUUUGCUUGAAACAAAACAAAAAAACAUAACACAACAUAAAUUUGUUCGAAAGAAAAGCAAAAGGGGCGCGAAAUGGUGGCAGCGAUUAGGAUGGAGGAGGUGUUGUGCAGCAGAGGUUCGGUCGUGGAGGAUGGAGUAA